rnacentral:rRNA from 1 species
AUUGAACGCUGGCGGCAGGCCUAACACAUGCAAGUCGAACGGUAACAGGAAGCAGCUUGCUGCUUCGCUGACGAGUGGCGGACGGGUGAGUAAUGUCUGGGAAACUGCCUGAUGGAGGGGGAUAACUACUGGAAACGGUAGCUAAUACCGCAUAGCGUCGCAAGACCAAAGAGGGGGAACUUAGGGCCUCUUGCCAUCGGAUGUGCCCAGAUGGGAUUAGCUAGUAGGUGGGGUAACGGCUCACCUAGGCGACGAUCCCUAGCUGGUCUGAGAGGAUGACCAGCCACACUGGAACUGAGACACGGUCCAGACUCCUACGGGAGGCAGCAGUGGGGAAUAUUGCACAAUGGGCGCAAGCCUGAUGCAGCCAUGCCGCGUGUAUGAAGAAGGCCUUCGGGUUGUAAAGUACUUUCAGCGGGGAGGAAGGGAGUAAAGUUAAUACCUUUGCUCAUUGACGUUACCCGCAGAAGAAGCACCGGCUAACUCCGUG